AUUGAACGCUGGCGGCAGGCCUAACACAUGCAAGUCGAGCGGAUGAAGGGAGCUUGCUCCUGGAUUCAGCGGCGGACGGGUGAGUAAUGCCUAGGAAUCUGCCUGGUAGUGGGGGAUAACGUCCGGAAACGGGCGCUAGUACCGCAUACGUCCUGAGGGAGAAAGUGGGGGAUCUUCGGACCUCACGCUAUCAGAUGAGCCUAGGUCGGAUUAGCUAGUUGGUGGGGUAAAGGCCUACCAAGGCGACGAUCCGUAACUGGUCUGAGAGGAUGAUCAGUCACACUGGAACUGAGACACGGUCCAGACUCCUACGGGAGGCAGCAGUGGGGAAUAUUGGACAAUGGGCGAAAGCCUGAUCCAGCCAUGCCGCGUGUGUGAAGAAGGUCUUCGGAUUGUAAAGCACUUUAAGUUGGGAGGAAGGGCGGUAAGUUAAUACCUUGCUGUUUUGACGUUACCAACAGAAUAAGCACCGGCUAACUUCGUG
rnacentral:rRNA from 1 species